AAGUUUGAAGCGAUGCACGCACUUAGUUUCGACCUAAUUUAUGGUGAAAACACCCAAACUUA
rnacentral:tRNA from 1 species